rnacentral:tRNA from 1 species
GCUUUGGUGGCGGAAUUGGUAGACGCAGUGAGGAUAGCGCGCACACUUGGAGAAGCCGACUUGCAACCAACGGUCUCCAUGCAGGUUCGAAUCCUGCCCAAAGCA